CUACGGGGCGCAGCAGGCGAGAAAACUUUGCAAUGUGCGAAAGCACGACAAGGUUAAUCCGAGUGGUUUCUGCUAAAGGAACCUUUUGACAGUCCUAGAAACACUGUUGAAUAAGGGGUGGGCAAGUUCUGGUGUCAGCCGCCGCGGUAAAACCAGCACCUCAAGUGGUCAGGAUGAUUAUUGGGCCUAAAGCAUCCGUAGCCGGCUCUGAAAGUUUUCGGUUAAAUCUGUACGCUCAACGUACAGGCUGCUGGGAAUACUGCAGAGCUAGGGAGUGGGAGAGGUAGACGGUACUCGGUAGGAAGGGGUAAAAUCCUUUGAUCUAUUGAUGACCACCUGUGGCGAAGGCGGUCUACCAGAACACGUCCGACGGUGAGGGAUGAAAGCUGGGGGAGCAAACCGGAUUAGAUACCCCGGUAGUC
rnacentral:rRNA from 1 species